rnacentral:rRNA from 1 species
UGGGUAACCUGCCUCAAAGAGGGGAAUAGCCUCCCGAAAGGGAGAUUAAUACCGCAUAAUAUGUUUAAGUCGCAUGACUUUAACAUCAAAGGAUUUUCUUUUAGAAAUUCCACUUUGAGAUGGACCCGCGGCGCAUUAGCUAGUUGGUGAGGUAACGGCUCACCAAGGCAACGAUGCGUAC